AGGCAGAGCAGGGGAAGGGGAAGGGGAGAACAAACAAAAAACCGUGAAACCACAGGAAAUGUUAACCUUUGCUCAUGCAAAACAAAUAGGAUUUCAAACCCCUCUGCCAAUGCCAACCACAGUCUGGAACAUCUUCCCCCUCCCUCCCGCCGAGCUUCCCUCUGUCUUUCGAUGCCCAGCUCAAGACGCCCCUUCUUGCAGGAAGCCACCGGCCAUACCACCGUACGGCCUCAGAAAACACUCAGGAUGGUACCCUAUGUUUGGGACUUGGUUUAGAUAACCUUCCAUUGCCUAAUUAUUUCAAGGCUUAUAGACCACUCAGUUUCACCCUCACUAGCUGUGUAAAAUGAUCUAGUGACCUGGUCAUAUGUGAAAUGGGGAUCAGGAUAUUUGCACUACCAACCUCACUGUGGGGGAAGGAAGGGCUUUCUAAAUAGCUUCAAGUCCUACAGAAGAGGGAGUGUUACCCUCGUCAUCAUCGUUCCUAUCUCUACAGCCAGACUGGGAGCUCCCCAGAAACACGGUCCAAGGCACCUCCUCCUUUCUCAGCCUCAGUGCCCAGCAGAAGGCUGGGCACACAGAGGUGGGAGUCUGGGUAUGCAUCAUGUGAGAUAACCAGCACGAGGGCACAGAACAAGGGUGCCCCUCUCUCCUGAUCCCUGAUGUGGUGAGGAACCUUCCAGGGCAUCCAGAUUGUAUCCUUUAUUUUACAGAUGAGCAAACAGAAAGCCAGAGAUGAAGUGACUUGCUCCUGGCCACAUUGGUAAUAAAUUCCUGAAGCUGCAUUUGAACUCAAGUCUUCCUGGUAGCAAGAUGAACUGGGAUUCAGACUCAGGUCCAAUAACUCUGAAGCCAGCACUUUCCAUCGGACCACACACCUCCUAGGAUGGAGGCCCAGAGGUGAGGGACUAUGGAUGUGGAUCACUGCAUACCCUUGACUCUAGCGCCACCUUCUCCAUGGAGCCUUUCCUGAUUCCUCUCAGCUGCCUUCCUCCUCGCAGUUACCUUGCAGGAGGGGCAGACAGAGGCUUCAGAGAAGGAUUUGUCUAAGGCCACACAGGCAUAAGCAGUCGAGUUGGGCUCCCAAGCCCAGGAGGAAGGUCUUCUGACUCCAAUUCUGACUGAUGCUCUGCAAAACCAUGCUGCUGCCUAGUUACAGGAACACAGGGAAGAUUCACCGUUUCUUCUGAGUGAGAACUCCCAGUGUGGGAGCCCCCUCCCAUGAUGCAGAUCUAUUAUCCUGGCUCAUGGCUCUGGAACAAGAAGGGACCCC